AAUAUUAGCUUUGGGAGUUAAAGGUAGGGUUUGGUGCCUUCUUCUUGA
rnacentral:tRNA from 1 species